rnacentral:rRNA from 1 species
CCUACGGGAGGCAGCAGUGGGGGAUAUUGCACAAUGGGGGAAACCCUGAUGCAGCGACGCCGCGUGCGUGAAGAAGUAUUUCGGUAUGUAAAGCUCUAUCAGCAGGGAAGAAAAAAGACGGUACCUGACUAAGACGCCCCGGCUAACUACGUGCCAGCAGCCGCGGUAAUACGUAGGGGGCAAGCGUUAUCCGGAUUUACUGGGUGUAAAGGGAGCGUAGACUGGAAUCCAAGUCGGAAGUGAAAUACCCGGGCUCAACCUGGGAACCGCUUUGGAAACUGUAAGUCUGGAGUGCGAGAGAGGUAAGCGGAAUUCCUAGUGAAGCGGUGAAAUGCGUAGAUAUUAGGAGGAACACCAGUGGCGAAGGCAGCUUACUGGACAUUAACUGACGUUGAGGCUCGAAAGCGUGGGGAGCAAACAGGAUUAGAUACCCGAGUAGUC